GUGAAACCCGCCCCCGCCGCCGCCGCACGCGACCGGCGCGUGCAGCGAGCGAGCCAAGCGUGUGUAUGUGUGCGCGCGCAGGGCUCCCCCUCCCCAACGGUUCUAGGGAAGGGGUGCGCCGCGUGGGGAGGCGAAGCAGGCACGCGCGUGCGCGCAGGCGCAGUCCGCCUCUCUCCUGGCGCGCGUGCCCGGGAGCGUGACUGCGGUCCUUCAGAACUGCAGUCAGGCGGUUGAAGCACGAGGGAGGAGGAGGAGGCGGCGGCGGCGGCGGCACGGCGUCCUCCUACUUUUGGCAUGACGCCUCACAACUUGGCGUUUCAAGGAUCUUCAGCUGGGCUUCUUCAAGAGUGCCGACCGCAAGCGAGGGGCAGAUCCGGGCCAGAACGGCAAGGACUUGGACUGAGGCUCCACUUCUCCGCCAAGGGACUCACUCGGUGACCCCUCGCUGCUGCCCGGUGUGGUGGUCCGGCACCCGGCUUGGCUUCCCUCCUCCCAUCAUCCACAGGAGCAGGGAGGGGAGACCAGGCCAAGGCUCUUCACACUGGGUCUCCCAUUUCCUUCUGCUUCAGACACUGGACGCACACAGAGCAGACUCCGAAGGGAGACUCGUCCACCCGUCCCUCCGUCCCUCCCCAAAGUGACCAGGUGCCUUGUGAGGCGGCCCCGAAACACCUUGACCUCUCAGCAAUGCAAAGAUGCACCUCCUGCCUGGGGACACACUUCUUUCUGGAGGAAGACGUCACAUGCUUUCAACAGUGGGGUCAACCUGAGCCCUUUUCUUCCUGGGAGACUGAGGGUUUUCAUUGGUGCUGCUUCCUUCACCGGUUCCAAGAGUUUUCUGUUUGUUCUUCUUGGUCUUGCUUAGCUUCAUAAAGAAGAGGGCCAUGGAAACACAGAUUCAUUUAGAUAGGAUAGAUCUAUUAGAUAGCUUGAUUACAUAGAUUACAUAGAUCCAUUAGAUAAAAUAGGAUAGAUAGAUUAGAUAGAUAAAAUAUUAGAUAGAUCCAUUAGAUAGAUAUAGGAUAGAUAGAUUAGAUACAUAGAUAAGAUAGAUUAGAUAGAUAAAAUAAAUUAGAUAAUUCAAUUAGAUAGAUACUCUAGAUUAGGUAGAUUAGACAGAUCCAUUAGAUAGAUAGAUAGAUAGAUAGACCAAUGGGUAGAUUAAUAGAUUAGAUAGAGUUAUUUCCAGAGAGUAGUCUAGUUGCAGGCAUGCACUCUGGAAGGAGAUGACUGACUCACAUGCAGAAGGGUGGAGAGAAUAGAAAGCAGGGAAAGCACCAUUAUAAUAACACAGACUGUAGAUUAAAGAGGCAAUUAUAUAGUCCCUUUAAUCUGAGGGACCGCCUCACUCCCUACAAACCCCAGAGAUCCCUCCGUUCUGAGGACCAAGACCUAUUGGAAGUCCCCAGUUUUAAGACCUUGCAUCUAACAAGAACUAGACGCAGAGCCUUUUCAGUAGUGGCGCCAUCGUUCUGGAACACCUUGCCACCUGAAGUCCGUGCCUUGCGGGACUUGUCGGCCUUCCGCAGGGCAUGUAAGACACAUCUGUUUCGACAAGCUUUUGAGUUCUGUUGUUGAUGUUUUAAAAGGUGCUUUUAGGAUGUUUUUAAGAUGUUUUUAAAAGAUGUUUGUAAGAUUUUUUUUUAAUUGUUGAUUUUAGCCGAUUCUUGUAAGCCGCUCCGAGCCCUAGGGGAAUGGCGGCAUAUAAGUUUGUAAAAUAAAUAAAUAAAUAAAUAAAAUAAUCAUAUAUAUAUAUAUA